AGGGAAUGGGGCACUUGGUCUCUUCUGCAGAUACUGUUCCAGCUGUGUUCAGAGCUCAGCCUGGGACUGCAGUGUUUCAUUUGCUGCAGGAAGAUCUAAUGCUUAGAUUGAAGACUCUGUAGCUCCACGACUCAAUUAAUACAUAAUCAUUUUACUUAAAAUGGAACCAGUCCACUGAGGGAGGAUUAAGGGUGUAGCCCCAACAUUCUCCUGAGAUUUGGGAAGUUCCUUCUGGCAGAAUCCCACAUUGAUACAUUCCAGGUGAACGUGCCAGUCACUGAACAGAUCAGGUACACGGUGCCACAUCCUAGGGAAUAUUGUGAAUCCAGCAAUAUGCUUUCAUUAUAUAUACCUAAAACAAUAAUAGUCAGGAUGGGGGAUUUUCUUUCCCACGAAACAAAUUAGGGACAGUUCUUAUUUUGACAAAGAAAACACAAAAAUUCUACUUACUUUAAGUGAAUUCACAAUUUUUUCUGCUGUUUUUGUCAUUUGAACAGUAGUUCAUAGUCUGUUUCAAAGCUUACAUAAAUGAAAGUGCUUCCUUUUACUCCAUUGAACUUUGGAGCAAUCCAGCUAUGUUGUAAAACCCUUUGUUAAUCUGUUACUAGAGCCUUUUGAUUUGCUUGUAUUUUAUAUUUAUUUUUUUACUUCCAUACUUACUACAGUAGGAAACACUGUCCAAUUCUUUUCCUGCUUGCCUGAAUUUACUGAAGGCAUUAAGAUAACAAAUAUUUUCUCUUAAUGUGUUGAGAUGCACUUAUAAUGAAUAACACAGUGCAGUUCUUUCCCUCUGGUGAUGCAGUGGGUUGUGUGUCACUGUGUACACAUGGACAUUCUUGAAGUGCUGACAGAUGGCAUCACCUUGGGUCACAAUGAAGAAAUCUUUGCCUCAGCACGCUCUGAGCGAGGGGGAGGAUUUCAGCCCCACAAAGCUGCAGUGAGAUCCUGGAAGCUAAACCAUGUGGCCCAUUCCUUGAGUUGUGCUGGCAGAACACAUGGGCUUCUUUGGUUCUGCUUCUGGUUUCUGGGAAAGCUCCAGGCACAUCACCUUGUUUCCUUGUUCCCAAACUGCCUGGUUGUAGGAUGAGGGUAAUUGUGUCGCUGGUGGAGUGCUGACAUCUCGUGAUGCUGCACUGCUAACGUUUUGCAGGUAUCCUGUCUCUGCUGCAGUUGAUAAGCUGUUGCAGCAUUUUCACAGACAGAAAUGCUGCUCCUGCAGCAGUGAUGUCUUGCUUUUGCCACACAUCAUAGCUAUUUUUUAUUUUGCCUUUCAGGUGAAGUUACAGAGGAAGAAAAGAACCUCAGUAGAACUCUGAUGAAGUACUGGGCUAACUUUGCUCGAAAUGGAAAUCCUAAUGGAGAGGGUCUGGUUGAAUGGCCAUCUUACAACCUAAAUGAAGAAUACUUGCAGAUAAACCUAAAACUAAAGAAAGCCAGCAAGUUGAAAGAACAGAAGGUGGAUUUCUGGAGGAAGCUGAUGCUUGAAAAGGCAAAUAGGCAAAGAAUGGAAAACAAGAAGCUUAAUUCAGAGUUAUAAUUUACAGUCUAAACAUGCACAUAAUAUGCAAGGUAUUAGGAUAGGGAAAGAAAUUCCUUAAAGUCAUUUUGAGGAUAAGAUUCUGUUUCCCCUCUUUUCAUCUUUUCUUCACGGUUGUCAUAUUUGCAAUUAUUCGUUGUAAUAAUUCCAGUUGAUCCUUCACUUCUUAAAAACAGCUACCACAUUUCCCCGGUGUUCAGGUUUUUCUGUCACUUCCCCAUGACUGAAGACAGAAUGUACAUAGAAUGUAAAACUUUGUUUUAAUAAAAGGAAAUCAAUGAAAACCCAA